GACGAACGCUGGCGGCGUGCUUAACACAUGCAAGUCGAGCGGUAAGGCCCUUUCGGGGGUACACGAGCGGCGAACGGGUGAGUAACACGUGGGUGACCUGCCCUCAGCUCUGGGAUAAGCCUGGGAAACCGGGUCUAAUACUGGAUAUGACUCCAUGACGCAUGUUGUGGGGGUGGAAAGCCUUGUGCGGCUGAGGAUGGGGCCCGCGGCCUAUCAGCUUGUUGGUGGGGUGANGGCCUACCAAGGCGACGACGGGUAACCGGCCUGAGAGGGCGACCGGCCACACUGGGACUGAGA
rnacentral:rRNA from 1 species